GUGAGAAUGGCUUGGUGGGCUCCCAGUAGCCAGCCAAGGUCAGCCCACCAUUGUAUGAUCUGAUGGAUAAAGAGUUUACAAUGAAACUUGGGAUAUAUCUGCAUCUCCAAGUGAUGUUGGAUAAGUCACCUAUAUCCUGUGCUUCUGUCUUGUCUUUAGAUUUUAUUUAUUUGUGUUCAGUUCUAAAAAUCUGUCAUCUUCCCCUUUGAGUAUAGGACUAUGAUCAUAUAUUUGUGGAGCACUUAUCCCCACACAGUGGGGAACAUGAAGCCCAGGAGCUCAUCAUUAUAACAAAAUGAACUUGUGGCUCAGUUGUUGUUGCUGUUUUUCAGGAACCUCUUCAACGUAUUCAGAUAAUAAGUUGCAUGACUGACAAACUGUGCAAGUUUCUCACUUUCUCCAGCCUUCUUUCGUGAAGGGCUCUGCAGCCAUUCAGGACAUGACAUAACAGAAUAUCUGGUGCAUGGUGUUCUCUCACUGCCACGUGAAGAGUUAUAUGCACUGAAUGUGAUUCCAAUCUUUUUCUCCCAUGUUUGUUGGACCACUGAAUCACGGUAAAUGAAGGCACAUGGCCAACCAUAUGGUAACAAUAUCAUCAGUGCUGCAGCAGAGGAAGAUCAAGAGUCGCAUAUACAUAAGCCAUGUUAACAGGUGAACAGGAAAGAUGGCCAAAAGGAAUAAAUGGAAUUUAUCCUACCAGAACUGGGUGGGAUUGCAGCACUUUGAAACACCUUUUUUGAUGAAGUGGAAGCACUGGAGCUUUCAUGAGAAAUGGGAGAGCAUUGUUUGAAACUGUACUAACUUCAGUAAAGAAGGAGUAGGUCAAUUCCUUUUAAAUAUUUGCCGAGUCUGUUUUAGAUAGAUACUAAACUAAGAUAUAGGCUGAGUGUUCAAACUCAAGUAAACAAAGAGACUCAUACAUUUACAUUCACAAACUGAGACUUCUAUUCAAAUAACAGUAUUUUUCACUUUCCCAUGCCAUUAUAACUGUCAUUUACAACUUCAUUAUGUACAAAUCUGUUCAUCAGAAUAUAUUUUAAUGGCAAUGAUGUCUCAGACUACCUGAUAAUAUGUGGGUGCAUAUUCAUAAAGGUUGGUAUCUUAUGUUAAAUUAGGAGAAUUUACCUUUUCCAGAAAUUUUAUUUUUUUGUCCUGGAAUUCUUGAGAGAUUUAUAUGAAAAGAGUCUUUUGAAAUUGGAUUACAAUGAAGUCUUAGUUUAAAUGAAGAUCUAUAAAUAUUCUGUGGUGUUCUUAAAGGCCAUAUUCAGGCUGCACAGUUCUGUGUUACCUGAGCUAUUACCAAAUACAGAGCUGGAUAGCAGAGUCACAUGAAGCUACUGGGCAAAAAGUUCCCGGAGUCUGGGUUAGUUUCUUUAGAGCUUCAGGUCACUCCACAGGGUGAUCUAGCAUGCUAUUUGCUUUAAAUAUUUCCUUGUGUGGAAUAUCCUCCUCUCUUUGUUGGUGAGAAAUUUUAUGUCAUAUCAAGAUUUGCAGACUCAUGUAUACUCAGACUUCUUGAGAUUGAAUGAUAUCUCUUUUCUGACUGUUUUUUUAAAUCCAGGCAAAAUUUCCACCAUACUGUGUUCCCAGUAGAGCUCAAUGAAACUAUCAUAGCAAAAAUAAAAGUCUAUAGGAAUGACUUUUGGCUAGUUUAGGGUAAUCCAUUUAAUUCCAUGCUCAUCCACAUAAAGUACCAUAGUUUCACCAAAAUGUUGUCACAGAAUUUUAGACAGCAAAUAAAUAUCAGAUACAAUCUUAUGAUUGAAAAAAGAUUUGAUGCAAGUUUAAAAUUGUACUGGAUAUACAUGUAUGAGUCUCAAAUACAAACUUCCACUCAGUCUGCACCUGUUUCUGUGGGUAAAGCACUGGUACUAAACCACUAUUUCUAUGUGAUUUGAAAGAAAUAGGAAAUUUUUCUGGAGCAACUCUGAUUUAAGAAAUUAGUUUUCAGUUUAUAGGAUGGGGAUGCAAUCAGCUGCAAUUUAAUGUGCUAAUUUGGCAAGGCAGCCAAGCCACCGUAAGUGGCUGCACAUGUGUUCUUAGCUCACCUAGACAUAAGCUAAAAUGUGCUGGUUUAAGCUAACACAUUUAUUUUGUUGUUAGGACAGGUGGGUAGACAUAUGGGGCAGCUGAAGAAUGUUACUUGUUAAAUUAAUGUCAGUUUUAAUGGUUCCAAUGUUAUGUGUUAGCUUCGAGAAGAGAUUUGAUACCAAGGUUGAAGAGAGACGUUGUCUUUGAACCUGACACUGAGGCAUAAAAGUUAUACUACACAUGAAGGUAAGAAGGCUUCCUAGAUAUGAGAGGGACUGAGAAAUGAAAAAGAAAAGCAGCAGAGAAAGAUUAAUAUAACAGGCAUGGAAGUUAUGAUCUUCCUCUCCAAAUAUAUUUUGCUCCCUUAUCAGAAAUGGCCAAUAAGUAGAUCUUUCCUUUUUUACCCUCCCAAAUUAAGAGCAUGUUUCAUGCAGCUUUUUUUUCUUUUGCUUCCACAGUGAGUCUUGAUAGUUUGAAAAGAAUUUCAUUCAUAGAGCUUUUUGCUUCCCCAGAUGACCCUGGGUUUAUGUGAAAAUGUCACUGAUGGAGCUUCUCAGGAAUAUACCUUCUGAAUUCAGCCCCAUAUAUAUAUUAUUUCAAGGAAAAUUGAUGUAGCAGCCUGUUGUAACAGAUUGGUUCAUGAAACACAAUGAAACCACAUUUUUCAAAAGUUUCUGUGGUAAGCCUACUGUGUCGUGCUGUAUACAGUAUGAGCCAUCUCUCAACUUCACUGAGACAAAGACACGGUAUCCCACACCAGAGUGGACAGUGCAACCUCUUUCUGGGCUGGUUUCAACAGGCUGAAGCUCAAGUUACUUCUCUGUUCUGAAAAAAGAGUAUAUUGAAGUUUUAACCUCAUGGUCUGCAGUCACCAGACCCCGUGCCAGUGUCAAACACUGCGCAGAUAGACAGCAACACGUGUGGGCUUCCACUGCUGUGACCUCCUGUAAAGUGUGAAGUACACUCUGAAGUUUUCAACCUCCUAAAGAGCUCAUCUGCUAUUUAAAAUAAAAAAUAUUCCUUGUUUGACUUCUCUCCUGCCACAUGAGGGGCUAGGUGAUUUUCAGGGACAGCAGCAGCAAUAAAUACAUGGGAUUUUCCUGGUCUGUGCAGGUGUGAGGCACCUUCGCUUUAUAGCAGCAGUUGGCAAUUACCAGGAAAAGAGGGCACUUGAGCAGCAGCUGCUUUCCCCUCUCCCAUUCCCAGAAAGUGCUGCAAACAGAUGAGAGUGGAGUACCCCUCUUCAGCCCCAAAAGUUGUGUCAUUCCUCAAUUAUCCAAAAUCCACGUCUGAUAACUACACUGUGCACGGCAUAGCUCAGUGUCGAGCUGCAUGGGUUGGUGAAGGAAGAAGGAGGACUGCAAUUCAGACUCCCUCUUGAACAAGCCAUUCUGUCUUUCCAAGCUGGAAUGGUUUCAGGAUGAGGUUUGCAAACUCUGGAAACUCCUCAGUUUCAGGAGGAUCCUGUCAACUCUUAUUAGAAAGUAACAGUCAACUUUUGAAAUUACUUCUAUUUGUUUAAACAAUCUCUAGUUUGCUGAAACUGGUGAGGUAAAUCCUUGUCCUUCUGGGGAGAAAAAAGCACAAAUCCAGUGCUUUAUUUAUUUUCAAAGUGUUUUGUAGAUACUAAAGCACCUUCAAAACCUGCUUUUAGAGAGUAGGUAAGUGAUGCUACUUUCACAAAUGUAGGGGAAAAACAGAGGCUGAGCAGUAUAUCCUUGGAAUGUGCUAUUCAAGAGCUAAAGGAACUUCAUGAUACUCCAGCCCUAGCCAUAAGUAAUAUGAACAAACUGCUGUCAACUCACUAAUGUGUGAAAUAUAGUAGGCUAAAUUUUAUGCGUUUGGGUUGACUGAUUUAAAAGCAGUAGUUGGGAGAACAGUUUAAUAUUAGCUCUACUGUAUAGGAUUUAAUUUGUAUUCUGCAGGCUACCCUAGGUAGUCAUUGGCUAAAGUACAUAACUAUGAAAUGAACCUUUUACACACUAAAUUCUUGUCAUGCUGGCUCAUGUAGGAGUCAUCGUUUGCUGCUGUUACAAAAAAACUGGGCGUAAGAAAGUGAUGGAUCAAGGAGGGGAUUUUCCCUUCCCUCCCUAGAAGGCUGCUCUGGAUUCUGUGGGAGCCUUCCUCUCUGCUUACAGAUCAUAGCCACUCAGUGCUGCCAGGAAACCACAGAAAGGCAGCAGAGUCAUGCAAAACUUUUUAAUGCAAUCAUAGUGUCUAUCCUUUAAUGACCCAGUGAAGUAGAAAUCGUUCCAAACCACCGGAACUGCUUUUGUAUUGCACAUCGGGAGGCUCCCAGCUUCUGAUCCUCAGAGAAUCCCCACAUAACUGUAAGAGAUAAUCCUACGUACGUGGCACAGACUUCUCAUAAUUGUCCUAUGCAGAUAAGUUCUUGGAGAUAAUGUUCUUUUUCUUGUCUCUUGCACUUCCCCCCCCAAUUUAAACUGAAAAAGAGGCCAGAAAUCAAGCUUUCUUCCCUCUGUUUUAAAAAAUAUUUUUCUUUUAUUUCAUGUUUUUUCAAAGAAUUUCAAAUAUCUCUUCCUAGAAAAUAACUUGGCAUCACCUUGUGUAAAAUAAGUUCCCCUAUAGCUAUAUUGCAUGAUAAAGGAAAAUUAAUAUGGUAAAUCCUGCUUUGACAAGUACAGGAACUGUAACAGUAAAGUCACUUCCAAAGUGCUACACAGAAAGAAGUUGAUCAUAUGGGCAGAGUUGCAAAACCCUUAAUAAUUUUCAGAAGACUGGAACAUCAAGCUCUUUAUGCACAUUAUCUGUUGUGCAUCAUGGAAAAUGUCAGUAAAUGAAAUAUCUACAGCUGAUGGAAAUAUAGCCUUGGAAUUUGUGUCUUCCUGCUCAGCCAGGCAGUUUGCUGAUAAAGGUGAUGUGCUGUCAUGCAUCAUGGUCCUUGGUAAAUUUGUGCCCUGAUUGCCUGGCUCACACUAUUUUCUCUCCUAGCCCGGGAAGGGGUGAGUGUUGAUUGGAUACCUCCCACCACCACAGAACAGCAGAGCUUCCCAUCCCACAUUUUGUACAGGAACUACAGGAGUGAGGAAUCAGCUUCAGGAAUUGCAGUGACAUGGUCACUAUUGGUUUUGUGUUUAGUCUUGCAUUACAUUGCAGCACAAAGUACUGGACUUCAGAUAUCAAAAACUGCCUUGACUCAUGUUUCACACUGGCUGCAGGCAACACAGUGAUGCAUCUCACUUUCUACCUGACCUAUGGAUGUGUAAGUUACAUGAAGACUGACUCAGUCAAGAAAGCAUGUGUGGAAUCUACAGCCCCCCCAUGGGCUCAAAAAUACAUUCAAGCCACCGGUGAGGGAUAUCUUUAGAGGAAGGAGGGUAGAGAUGGCUUUUGGCACAAACUCAAAACCUAUAAUUUCAGCUAACAUUUGGCUUACUGGAUUUCAUGGUAUGGCUAUAUUAAGCUUCUCUUUAAUGCUUUUUAACUUCUUAUUUGUAACUUUCAGGGCCUUUCAUGGAAGAUCAUGUGUUCCUCACCUUUUGCAGCAGUAUCAUUUGGGGGUUGUACCAAGGCCAGGAAAACCUGGUUUCCAGCCAAGUCAACUUCUUGAGGCCUGAACAAAAGUCUGUUUUAAUAAAAUGACAUAAAUCAUGUCAGUCAUUCUCUUGCCUGCUUCGGGAUUAAUUUUCUUGCACUUAUGAAAUGCGCUUAUGCAGCUUCCAUCAGUCUUGGUUGCUCCUUGUAGCAGAGAGGUUUGGCUGGUGGGUUGCCUGCUGCCCUCAGUGCAGUCUCUAUGCUGUUGGCUAUUUCAGUCUCAAUUUCCUAUUUGGUGGCAGAUCAAAUAGUCUCCAUGAAAGGCAGAAGGAAUGACAGAGACUUGCUUUCUUCAAGUAGAAAACAAUGUCCCAUAUGUGACCUCAGCAAAACCACUCCAUGUGGCACUUUACUAGUUAUGCCUUAAAGAACUGGAUUGUGUCCAGGCCCUGGUGUGGUGCUAAUUACCACAGCUUUUGGCUAAGAAUGAACUAUAAAUCUUUAAACACCAACAAGUCUGAUUAGGUUUGAUUUUCUUUGGCACUGUUGUGGUACCUCCAAACAGAAAAAUGUUUUUGCAGAACAGAUUCAGUAUAUGUGAUAUUUCCUUGCAUGCAACACUUAUCACACUCAGGUUUAUUGAUGCAGGAAGUUAGUUUCCCAGUCCUAUUCUUUAAAAAAUUGAGGUAAGGCCAGAUCUUCAAGUGAUAGAUAUCAGCAUAACACUGUUGUCCUCAGUCCUGUUUUCAGUAGUUCAGGAUAUAGGUCCUGGAUUUCAAUCCUGUAGUCUAGUGGUAGAAAGGGUCUAUCAGGUCAUGUUGUCUAUGUCCUUAUCUGUGAAAAAUUGUUCCCUUGUGUACAGAAAUAGGAAGCAGCCCAACAAUGUUUUUAAACAUUUCAUUUCCACAAAUAGUGUCUUUAACACUUUCCCUUGGGAGUCUGCUCCAUUCAGAUGGAUAUUUUCCUGGCCUUAAGCUCUACAGUUUUCAUUUCAUAUUCAGAUCCACAAUUUCUGUACCCAGGUAAUAAUUUUACCUUUGAAAAUUUGCAUUCUUCAAAUAUCUGUGGACCAUUGUCAUGCUCCAGCUUUUUGAUUUUGGACAACCUGAAAACACUUAACUCUUAGCUGUUAAAGAAAAUAAUUCGCUUUAAAAUUGUAAUUGUUCUUAAAUGUCUUUUUCUAAACUGCCUUCUGUUUGUAAGGAAUCACCUGCUGUCCAGCAAUGAAUGCAACAUCCAGGUACAGAUCACCAGGAUCGAGCAGAGAUAGACUUUGUCUGGGGUGAGGGGGAGAGGUGAUGCAGCCUCCACGUACAUGGAGAUGCUUAACUGAGCAGUGGGGUGCUGAGUAAGUUUUGACAUGGUAGCACUCAGCGGUCCUGUUUGCCUUCCAGAACAGAGCAGGGGAAGCAUAUUUCAGCUCUUAAAGUAUUCAGUUUAAAGUAAACCCCUAAAUCCUACUCAAGAUUGCAGCCCUGCAGAGGUCAAUUGAAAUUAUCUUGCCUGGGGAAGUGACCAGGGCAUUAUUCUGUAUCUGGGACUUUCAGUAAUUUCUAAGUGUUUUCCAGUGAAGAUGAUUACUCAAGUGUAGUGAAAGUAUGGCAGCAACAAACAAGUUUAUACCAAUAGUUACAUUUCACAGACUUGACAGUAUUAGUCUAGGGUCUCUCAGACACACCAGGAAUACAAGCAGAAAACCAAUGUGGUCUAUAAUAUUGUGCUGCUUUCUCUUAGAGUAAUAUUUGGAGCUGUUUCCUUUGGGACAUACCACAAAAAGCAAUGUACCUGCCAUGCAGAUUGAUGGAAACUGCACACACUCUUUGACCAUGCAUCUGAGAGUGGGAAGCACCUUCAGAAGAACAUGCAAGGUAGUAGGGAACACUUGCAACAAAAAAUACUGGUUAAUAUCCUUAAAACUGCAUAGCAUGAAGAGAAAUGGCUGCAGAACUGGGUGAAGCUUUAAAUUACCUUGCUCAGAAAGCUCUGAGUUACCUUCCUGUUGGAGGUGAGUAACCUUGUGAUGCCACAGCAUUACCAGUGUCAAAA